rnacentral:rRNA from 1 species
AACGAACGCUGGCGGCAGGCCUAACACAUGCAAGUCGAACGCUCCAGCAAUGGAGAGUGGCAGACGGGUGAGUAACGCGUGGGAACCUACCCUUUGGUUCGGAAUAGCUCAGGGAAACUUGAGGUAAUACCGGAUAAGCCCUUCGGGGGAAAGAUUUAUCGCCAAUGGAUGGGCCCGCGUCGGAUUAGCUAGUUGGUGGGGUAACGGCCUACCAAGGCGACGAUCCGUAGCUGGUCUGAGAGGAUGAUCAGCCACACUGGGACUGAGACACGGCCCAGACUCCUACGGGAGGCGGCAGUGGGGAAUAUUGGACAAUGGGCGCAAGCCUGAUCCAGCCAUGCCGCGUGAGUGACGAAGGUCUUCGGAUUGUAAAGCUCUUUUGGCGGGGAAGAUAAUGACGGUACCCGCAGAAUAAGUCCCGGCUAACUUCGUGCCAGCCGCCGCCGUAA